AACGUACGCUGGCGGCACGCCUAACACAUGCAAGUCGAACGAAGUAGUAAUACUUAGUGGCAGACGGGUGAGUAACAUGUAGGUAUCUGCCCUUUGGCCUGGAAUAACACGAGGAAACUUGUGCUAAUACCGGAUAAGUCUUUACGGAGAAAGCUUUAUGCACCAUUGGAUGAGCCUGCACUUGAUUAGUUUGUUGGUGGGGUAAUGGCCUACCAAGACUGUGAUCAAUAGCUGAUUUGAGAGGAUGAUCAGCCACAUUGGGACUGAGACACGGCCCAAACUCCUACGGGAGGCAGCAGUGGGGAAUCUUGCACAAUGGAGGAAACUCUGAUGCAGCGAUGCCGCGUGAGUGAAGAAGGCCCUUGGGUUGUAAAGCUCUUUCGUCGGGGAAGAAAAUGACUGUACCCGAAUAAGAAGGUCCGGCUAACUUCGUGCCAGCAGCCGCGGUAAUACGAAGGGACCUAGCGUAGUUCGGAAUUACUGGGCUUAAAGAGUUCGUAGGUGGUUGAAAAAGUUAGUGGUGAAAUCCCAGAGCUUAACUCUGGAACUGCCAUUAAAACUUUUCAGCUAGAGUAUGAUAAAGGAAAGCAGAAUUUCUAGUGUAGAGGUGAAAUUCGUAGAUAUUAGAAAGAAUACCAAUUGCGAAGGCAGCUUUCUGGAUCAUUACUGACACUGAGGAACGAAAGCAUGGGUAGCGAAGAGGAUUAGAUACCCUCGUAGUCCAUGCCGUAAACGAUGUGUGUUAGACGUUGGAAAUUUAUUUUCAGUGUCGCAGGGAAACCGAUAAACACACCGCCUGGGGAGUACGACCGCAAGGUUAAAACUCAAAUGAAUUGACGGGGACCCGCACAAGUAGUGGAGCAUGUGGUUUAAUUCGAAGAUACGCGCAGAACCUUACCAACACUUGACAUGUUCGUCGCGACUCUAAGAGAUUAGAGUUUUCGGUUCGGCCGGACGAAACACAGGUGCUGCAUGGCUGUCGUCAGCUCGUGUCGUGAGAUGUUGGGUUAAGUCCCGCAACGAGCGCAACCCUCACUUUUAGUUGCCAUCAUUAAGUUGGGCACUCUGAAAGAACUGCCAGUGAUAAGCUGGAGGAAGGUGGGGAUGACGUCAAGUCCUCAUGGCCCUUACGUGUUGGGCUACACACGUGCUACAAUGGUAUCUACAACAGGAAGCAAGACUGCGAAGUUAAGCAAAUCCCUAAAAGAUACCUCAGUUCGGAUUGCACUCUGCAACUCGAGUGCAUGAAGCUGGAAUUACUAGUAAUCGUGGAUCAGCGUGCCACGGUGAAUGCGUUCCCGGGUCU
rnacentral:rRNA from 1 species